rnacentral:rRNA from 1 species
GGGAGUACGGCCGCAAGGUUAAAACUCAAAUGAAUUGACGGGGGCCCRCACAARCGGUGGAGCAUGUGGUUUAAUUYGAUGCAACGCGAAGAACCUUACCUACUCUUGACAUCCACRGAAUUYGSCAGAGAUGCMUUAGUGCCUUCGGGAACYSUGAGACAGGUGCUGCAUGGCUGUCGUCAGCUCGUGUUGUGAAAUGUUGGGUUAAGUCCCGCAACGAGCGCAACCCUUAUCCUUUGUUGCCAGCGAUUCGGUCGGGAACUCAAAGGAGACUGCCGGUGAUAAACCGGAGGAAGGUGGGGAUGACGUCAAGUCAUCAUGGCCCUUACGAGUAGGGCUACACACGUGCUACAAUGGCGCAUACAAAGAGAAGCGACCUCGCGAGAGCAAGCGGACCUCACAAAGUGCGUCGUAGUCCGGAUCGGAGUCUGCAACUCGACUCCGUGAAGUCGGAAUCGCUAGUAAUCGUGGAUCAGAAUGCCACGGUGAAUACGUUCCCGGGCCUUGUACACACC